rnacentral:misc_RNA from 1 species
UUGGUGAUGGCGCUCUGCGUU